GUAACAAGGUUUCCGUAGGUGAACCUGCGGAAGGAUCAUUAUUGAAUUUUAAUGAAGAGU
rnacentral:rRNA from 2 species